rnacentral:rRNA from 1 species
CAGCCGCCGCGGUAAUACGUGCAGCACGAGUGGUGUCCACGAAUAUUGAGCCUAAAACGCAUGUAGCCGGCUUGGCAAAUCUUCCGUCAAAUCUCAGAGCUUAACUUUGAGGCGUGCGGGGGAAACUACCAGGCUAGGGAAUGGGGGAAUCAGAGAGUACGUUAGGGGGAGGGGUAAAAUCCUGUAAUCCUUAACGGACUAACGGUGGCGAAGGCGCUCUGAUAAAACAUGUCCGACGGUGAGAUGCGAAGGCUAGGGGAGCAAAUGGGAUUAGAUACCCCAGUAGUCCUAGCAGUAAAUUAUGCGCUCUUGGCGUUGCACUUUCCUUGUGAAAGUGUAGUGCCGAAGGGAAGCCGUUAAGAGCGCUGCUUGGGGAGUACGACCGCAAGGUUGAAACUUAAAGGAAUUGGCGGGGGAGCAC